AUUGAACGCUGGCGGCAUGCUUUACACAUGCAAGUCGAACGGCAGCGCGGGCUUCGGCCUGGCGGCGAGUGGCGAACGGGUGAGUAAUGCAUCGGAACGUGCCCAGUAGUGGGGGAUAGCCCGGCGAAAGCCGGAUUAAUACCGCAUACGACCUGAGGGUGAAAGCGGGGGACCGAAAGGCCUCGCGCUAUUUGAGCGGCCGAUGUCGGAUUAGCUAGUUGGUGGGGUAAAGGCUUACCAAGGCGACGAUCCGUAGCUGGUCUGAGAGGACGACCAGCCACACUGGGACUGAGACACGGCCCAGACUCCUACGGGAGGCAGCAGUGGGGAAUUUUGGACAAUGGGGGCAAGCCUGAUCCAGCCAUGCCGCGUGCGGGAAGAAGGCCUUCGGGUUGUAAACCGCUUUUGUUCGGGAAGAAAUACUCUGGGCUAAUACCCCGGGGGGAUGACGGUACCGGAAGAAUAAGCACCGGCUAACUACGUG
rnacentral:rRNA from 1 species